rfam:Loxodonta africana unplaced genomic scaffold scaffold_79, whole genome shotgun sequence.
AGUGGUUAAGCAUUUGGCUGCUAACCAAAAGGCUAGUGGUUCAAACCCAUCAGCCACUC